CACGUUCUUGAUUGUGGACAUCAAUGAUUAAGCCCUUUUUGCUUCCACUAGUGCAUACGCUGAUUAUGGUAUGACCACAAGCGUUUGUUCUUUCGACGAAGACGAUCUCACGUUCUGGAUUGAAUUUUUUCCAGUUUUCUGGUAAUCAUGGAAGGAUUUAUGUGUACUCUUUCGUGAGCACCAGGACCAAGUAUGCAAUGGAUUCAAGAAAAUUAGACAAUAUUGCCACUGUUGCUGUAGCGGUGGGAGGAGAUCAAAUGGGAUUUGUGCCCUAGCCCACCUUUAGCCUUUAGGCCCACCGUUGAAGAUGGUGGCGAUUUGCUGCUAGAUUUAGCAGCUCAAGAUGCACUUUUAUUUGUGUCAUUGUGUUGGUAGAAUUCGCUCAGUAGUCAGCAAGGAUCAGCCUCAGUCAGAUGGUAGCAAAUUAGCCCUUCAAUCCAAACAGGCAAUGGAAACUGAGUGAACAGCCUCCAUUGGCAGUGGCCCGUAUUCAAAAGUGUUAUCGGAACAAAUCUCUUGGAGCUACUCUUCUGUUCCAUGAGCAAAACUAUGACGAUCCUUCCAGCGGUAUUUAGAAUGAUCAAGGCUGCCGAAAUGAAUCUGAAAAUGUGAACUCCAGUUGUGGUGUGGCCCACCUGCAGUACUUUAUUUGACCAACGACACGAAAGUGAACGUUUUCAACACGACGGAUCACCAGGGAUCGAAAUUGGCCGCCUUUUUCGAUGGAGUCGACGACAUGGUUGACGAGAUGUCAGAAGAAAUGGCGCGGACAGCCGUUCCUCUUUUGGGUCAGCUCGCACAUGUCCAUUAGCAUUUGAAACUUUGCUACUUUGAUUUUGUGUGUGUGUGUGUAACAGUGUCGUACUGCCUUAGGAAUCCAAACUCAACCGUCGUCACUGCUUCACACCGCGUGAAUUUCGUCGACAUUGUUCAUGAGUCAACAUGUAUAGUACUAAUGAGGAGCAAUUCCAAAUCUCACACGGCAACCAUACCAGCCCCUUUCAAAGAAAAGAUUCACUAUCAACCUCCUGUCACUCAAAUGUGUGCUAGAUAUCCUGAUUCAGGUAUUUCUUGUAUUGGAUAUUUUCUUUAUUUAUUAUACUUCUUUAUUUUAUAUAUUUUCUUAUAUGGAUUAAACUGAUUAAACUCUUGUUAUGUUUGAUUGCAGGCACCUUUAAAAUAGGGAACUUCACUUUAGCCAUGUCAACCUAUCACUUGGAGUUGGAUCCUAUAGUGCAGGUUGCAUGGAAUUCUCGUUUACCUUUGCUGUGAACAUAAGUAACAUCUGCACUAAUUGAAGUCCAUUUAGGUGACUAUCUUAUUCAGUUUAUUCAAAAAUUAAAUGUGUUUAGUUGGAAGUUAAACCAGAAGUUUUCCGUUCCGUCCAAUCUUCCGGGUGCCCAAGGAAUAUGUUGGAUAUCACUAGGUGGCUAAAAUUAUGUCUGCUAGAUGGUGCGAGUGUCUUCGUUACUCAAGACGAAAUUCCGCCAUUUCUUACAACACUGAUUGGAAACCACAUGUUGAAAACGUAUCGUUGGAUUGGAUACUUAAUACGGCGUACUUUUCUUUCUUGACAUUUUUUUUCGUAAUAACGGUAUUUAUUUGGUAACAGCCUAUAAUUUCUACAUGGCAAUUUCAUCUGGUCAUGUGGCCUGAGCAGCUGAACAUUUUGCCAAAAUGUCGUCUCUUUUUCCUGUACCAGCUUCACGUUUGUCGGAUACAAUUCAGAACAAUUCGGGAUUAACACCCUGGUGGAGUUUGAGCUUCUUUGUUGCUGCCCAACUUUCACAUGGAUUUGAUGCAGCCAGCUGAGGGCUUUAACUCUGGUUUAGCGUUUAUAUUGGCGUAGUUGCUGUCCGAUGUGGCACGUUGUUGCAGCCUAUACUGGUGAAAGAUCUUUCGACAUCAAGCUCAAUUGGCCGUUCCUUGGUGAUGAUGUUGUGUUGCCGAAGUUGCAUCAUAUUUUGUUAAAUUGUUAUCGUGACUAUUGCAGUUUACCGUUUAUAAGUUCAGAAGCAACAAAAACAAAUGUGGGAUGUUUAUGUCAACCAAUAAUAAACGUGUAUCCGGGAUUGGGAAAGGAAAGUGGAGGAUCGGCUUGACAUUAUAUUUAUUGCUUCACAAAUUUCCUGUUGACAUCUUUAGCCUAUUUAAUUUUUUACCUAACAAUUUUCGUUUCAUUCGAGUAUUCGACUCGUCAUUUUAAGAUGUAAGCCACCUUUUUUCUUACGCUUAUGAACAGAUGUCAUGUCCCUAACAAGAAAAACAAAAAGUCAUACGUUUGCUUUA